GAUGGAAACCGACUACAACCCCAUGGAGCUAAGCAGUGUGUCAGGGUUCAAAGACAGCUCGGAGCGUAAUGGUUUUGAAGGAACUGAUGUGAAGGACAUGCGGCUAGAGGCAGAAGCAGUAGUGAAUGACGUCCUCUUUGCUGUUAACAACAUGUUUGUCUCAAAAAGCCUGCGCUGCGCAGAUGACGUGGCCUAUAUCAAUGUGGAGACAAAGGAAAGGAACAGAUACUGCCUAGAGCUCACUGAAGCAGGGCUGAGGGUGGUUGGUUAUGCCUUUGACCAGGUGGAUGAUGAUUUGCAGACGCCCUACCAUGAAACAGUCUACUCCUUGUUGGAUACACGCAGCCCUGCCUACCGGGAAGUAUUUGGCAAUGCAUUGCUUCAGACUGGAAGCUUUGAAAAGGGAUGGACAGUCAUGACCCAGCUUCUUCCUUUAAAGGGAGUGGCUGCUGGUUCCGAAUGUUAACAGAAAACUUGAACUUCUUGCCUAUGAUCACAGUAGAAAACACACCUUU